rnacentral:tRNA from 1 species
GCCUGGGUGGCUCAGUUGGUUGAGCGUCUGACUUCGGCUCAGGUCAUGAUCUCGCAGUCUGUGAGUUCGAGCCCCGUGUCGGGCU